rnacentral:rRNA from 1 species
GACGAACGCUGGCGGCGUGCCUAAUACAUGCAAGUAGAACGCUGAAGAGAGGAGCUUGCUCUUCUGGAUGAGUUGCGAACGGGUGAGUAACGCGUAGGUAACCUGCCUUGUAGCGGGGGAUAACUAUUGGAAACGAUAGCUAAUACCGCAUAACAAUGGAUGACCCAUGUCAUUUAUUUGAAAGGGGCAAAUGCUCCACUACAAGAUGGACCUGCGUUGUAUUAGCUAGUAGGUGAGGUAACGGCUCACCUAGGCGACGAUACAUAGCCGACCUGAGAGGGUGAUCGGCCACACUGGGACUGAGACACGGCCCAGACUCCUACGGGAGGCAGCAGUAGGGAAUCUUCGGCAAUGGGGGCAACCCUGACCGAGCAACGCCGCGUGAGUGAAGAAGGUUUUCGGAUCGUAAAGCUCUGUUGUAAGUCAAGAACGAGUGUGAGAGUGGAAAGUUCACACUGUGACGGUAGCUUACCAGAAAGGGACGGCUAACUACGUGCCAGCAGCCGCGGUAAUACGUAGGUCCCGAGCGUUGUCCGGAUUUAUUGGGCGUAAAGCGAGCGCAGGCGGUUUGAUAAGUCUGAAGUUAAAGGCUGUGGCUCAACCAUAGUUCGCUUUGGAAACUGUCAAACUUGAGUGCAGAAGGGGAGAGUGGAAUUCCAUGUGUAGCGGUGAAAUGCGUAGAUAUAUGGAGGAACACCGGUGGCGAAAGCGGCUCUCUGGUCUGUAACUGACGCUGAGGCUCGAAAGCGUGGGGAGCGAACAGG